rnacentral:rRNA from 1 species
AGUGAACGCUGGCGGUAGGCCUAACACAUGCAAGUCGAACGGCAGCACAGUAAGAGCUUGCUCUUACGGGUGGCGAGUGGCGGACGGGUGAGGAAUACAUCGGAAUCUACUUUUUCGUGGGGGAUAACGUAGGGAAACUUACGCUAAUACCGCAUACGACCUACGGGUGAAAGCAGGGGAUCUUCGGACCUUGCGCGAUUGAAUGAGCCGAUGUCGGAUUAGCUAGUUGGCGGGGUAAAGGCCCACCAAGGCGACGAUCCGUAGCUGGUCUGAGAGGAUGAUCAGCCACACUGGAACUGAGACACGGUCCAGACUCCUACGGGAGGCAGCAGUGGGGAAUAUUGGACAAUGGGCGCAAGCCUGAUCCAGCCAUACCGCGUGGGUGAAGAAGGCCUUCGGGUUGUAAAGCCCCUUUGUUGGGAAAGAAAAGCAGCAGGUUAAUACCCCGCUGUUCUGACGGUACCCAAAGAAUAAGCACCGGCUAACUUCAUG